rnacentral:rRNA from 1 species
UUCGCAAUGCCCGAAAGGGUGAUGGAGCGACGCCGCGUGAGUGAAGAAGUCCUUCGGGACGUAAAGCUCUUUUAUCAGGGACGAACAAAUGACGGUACCUGAUGAAUAAGCCACUGCUAACCUCGUGCCAGCAGCAGCGGUAAUACAGAGGCGGCAAGCGUUGUUCGGAAUUAUUGGGCGUAAAGAGCACGUAGGCGGCUCUGCAAGUCAGUUGUGAAAGCCUUCCGCUCAAAGGAAGAACAGCAUCUGAUACUACAGGGCUUGAGUGCGGGAGGGGAGAGUGGAACUUCUGGUGGAGCGGUGAAAUGCGUAGAUAUCAGAAGGAACGCCGGCGGCGAAAGCGACUCUCUGGUCCGUAACUGACGCUGAGUGUGCGAAAGCUAGGGGAGCAAACGGGAUUAGAUACCCCGGUAGUCCUAGCCGUAAACGAUGGGCACUAAGUAGAGGGGUU